ACGCUCGACACCUAGGAGGCAGCAGUGGGGAAUAUUGCACAAUGGGGGAAACCCUGAUGCAGCGACGCCGCGUGGAGGAAGAAGGUCUUCGGAUUGUAAACUCCUGUUGUUGGGGAAAAAGAGGAUGGUACCCAACAAGGAAGUGACGGCUAACUACGUGCCAUCAGCCGCGGUAAUCUGAGGCGGGCUGGCAAGGC
rnacentral:rRNA from 1 species